GGGCCCGCACAAGCAGCGGAGCGUGUGGUUUAAUUCGAUGCAACACGAAGAACCUUACCAAGGCUUGACAUGCUGGAAGUAGUGAAACGAAAGUCUAACCACCUGUUAAAUCAGGAGCCUGCACAGGUGCUGCAUGGCUGUCGUCAGCUCGUGCCGUGAGGUGUUGGGUUAAGUCCCCCAACGAGCGUAACCCUUAUUGCCAGUUAUUUUCUCUGGCGAGACUGCCCCGCAAAACGGGGAGGAAGGUGGGGAUGACGUCAAGUCAGCACGGCCCUUAUGCCUUGGGCUACACACACGCUACAAUGGACGGUACAAUGGGUAGCAAGUGAGCGAUCAGGAGCUAAUCCUAAAAACCGUUCUCAGUUCGGAUUGCAGGCUGAAACCCGCCUGCAUGAAGUCGGAGUUGCUAGUAAACGCGAGUCAGCAAAUUGCGUUGAAUACGUUCUCGGGCCUU
rnacentral:rRNA from 1 species